UCCCACCCUGAACAUGCCUGAUCUUGUCUGAUCUCGGAAGCUAAGCAGGGUCGAGCCUGGUUAAUGCUUGGAUGGG
rnacentral:rRNA from 11 species